UAAAAGGUUUUAUUAAAACCACAAGAAAUUCAAAGAAACAUGCAGU
rfam:Nestor notabilis contig30999, whole genome shotgun sequence.